UGAAGAGUUUGAUCAUGGCUCAGAUUGAACGCUGGCGGCAGGCUUAACACAUGCAAGUCGAGGGGUAACAGAGUAGCUUGCUACUGCUGACGACCGGCGCACGGGUGCGGAACGCGUAUGGAACCUGCCCCUGUCAGGGGAAUAGCCCAGGGAAACUUGGAUUAAUGCCCCAUGGUAUCGUUUUAUCGCAUGAUAUUACGAUUAAAGAUUUAUCGGACAGGGAUGGCCAUGCGUACCAUUAGUUAGUUGGUGAGGUAACGGCUUACCAAGGCAGCGAUGGUUAGGGGCCCUGAGAGGGGGAUCCCCCACACUGGUACUGAGACACGGACCAGACUCCUACGGGAGGCAGCAGUGAGGAAUAUUGGACAAUGGGCGGGAGCCUGAUCCAGCCAUGCCGCGUGCAGGAUGACGGCCUUCUGGGUUGUAAACUGCUUUUCUACAGGAAGAAAAAGCCCUUGCGAGGGAAAUUGCCGGUACUGUAGGAAUAAGCACCGGCUAACUCCGUGCCAGCAGCCGCGGUAAUGCGGA
rnacentral:rRNA from 1 species